GCUCUCUCUCUCUCGCUCUCUCUCUCUCUCUCUCUGCCCCUCCCCUUCUGUUCUCUAUCUCAUUCUCUCGCGCUCAGUCCAUCAUUCUUUCGGCUCUCGCGCUCGGCGCUUGUUUGCUGACGAACAAAAACGCGAAAGGAUGUAAAUGAAUGAAAGGAAAGAGGCUCGCGCACGCAGAGCGGGAACAAAAGCAAUCGAGCCGCAAUGGAGGAGCGUUUAGCUGUGCGUGUGAUGCUGCAGAGCCUCAGAGCUGCUUCUCCUCUAACUUUCAUCCUUCACUUUCAUUUGAAGCUGAAGACACGAGGACGCGCACGUUUUGAAAGUGUCUCAUUGAUGAACUCUGCUUCAGUCCACACAGUAAAGACAAACUGGGGCUGAUCUGACCUGCUGAUGAGAUCCUCUGUGAAGCGUCACUGAUGUCACUUCCUGUAAGGCGGAGUCAGUCGGAGGAUGAAUUCUGCAUCAUAACUUCACCUGCAGACUGAAGGAAACAAACAGACACCAUCAGAAACAUGAUUGUUUGGGGGGGGGGCAUCAAUCCUAUCUCUGGUUUUUAUGAUCUCAUUGUUUUUUUUCCUGACUUUGAGUGUAGAAAACUAAACCACUGUGGAUAUUUGCUGCAGAAGCACUUUAAACCAGGUAAGUGAAUCUAGAAAAUACCUGAUUCUGUAAUUAAUACUGUAAAGCUGUAACUCAUCAUUGUGUGCUCGGGUAAAGCUGAAUGUUUGUUGAUCUUCAAUAAAGCGUUGAAGCACUU